GUGCUCACUUUGGCAAUACACAUACUAAAAUUGGAACGAUUCAGAGGAGAUUAGCUUAGGCCCUGCUCAAGGAUGACAUGCAAACUCGUGAAGCAUUCCAUAUUAAA
ensembl:snRNA U6 U6 spliceosomal RNA